UACGUAGGGGGCAAGCGUUAUCCGGAUUUACUGGGUGUAAAGGGAGCGUAGACGGCAGUGCAAGUCUGAAGUGAAAGGCGGGGGCCCAACCCCCGGACUGCUUUGGAAACUGUGCUGCUGGAGUGCAGGAGAGGCAAGUGGAGUUCCUAGUGUAGCGGUGAAAUGCGUAGAUAUUAGGAGGAACACCAGUGGCGAAGGCGGCUUGCUGGACUGUAACUGACGUUGAGGCUCGAAGGCGUGGGGAGCAAACAGG
rnacentral:rRNA from 1 species